rnacentral:rRNA from 1 species
CUACGGGUCGCAGCAGUGAGGAAUAUUGCGCAAUGGGGGAAACCCUGACGCAGCGACGCCGCGUGGAUGAUGAAGGCCUUAGGGUCGUAAAAUCCUGUCAGGUGGGAAGAAGUGGAUAUAGAUUAAUACUCUAUUUCUUUGACGGUACCACCAAAGGAAGCACCGGCUAACUCCGUGCCAGCAGCCGCGGUAAUACGGAGGGUGCAAACGUUGUUCGGAAUUACUGGGCGUAAAGCGCGCGUAGGCGGUUUGUUAAGUCAGAUGUGAAAGUCCAUGGCUCAACUAUGGAAGUGCAUUUGAAACUGGCAGGCUUGAGUACUGGAGGAGGUGAUGAAAUUCCGGGUGUAGAGGUGAAAUUCGUAGAUAUCGGGAGGAGUACCGGUAACGAAGGCGAUCACCUGGCCAGAUACUGACGCUGAGGUGCGAAAGCGUGGGGAGCAAACAGGAUUAGAUACCCCAGUAGUC